GAUGAACGCUGGCGGCGUGCCUAAUACAUGCAAGUCGAGCGAACAGAUAAGGAGCUUGCUCCUUUGACGUUAGCGGCGGACGGGUGAGUAACACGUGGGUAACCUACCUAUAAGACUGGAAUAACUCCGGGAAACCGGGGCUAAUGCCGGAUAACAUUUAGAACCGCAUGGUUCUAAAGUGAAAGAUGGUUUUACUAUCACUUAUAGAUGGACCCGCGCCGUAUUAGCUAGUUGGUAAGGUAACGGCUUACCAAGGCAACGAUACGUAGCCGACCUGAGAGGGUGAUCGGCCACACUGGAACUGAGACACGGUCCAGACUCCUACGGGAGGCAGCAGUAGGGAAUCUUCCGCAAUGGGCGAAAGCCUGACGCAGCAACGCCGCGUGAGUGAUGAAGGUCUUCGGAUCGUAAAACUCUGUUAUUAGGGAAGAACAAAUGUGUAAGUAACUGUGCACGUCUUGACGGUACCUAAUCAGAAAGCCACGGCUAACUACGUG
rnacentral:rRNA from 1 species